rnacentral:rRNA from 1 species
AUUGAACGCUGGCGGCAGGCCUAACACAUGCAAGUCGAACGAGUGGCGGACGGGUGAGUAAUGUCUGGGAAACUGCCUGAUGGAGGGGGCUAACUACUGGAAACGGUAGCUAAUACCGCAUACCAUCAGAUGUGCCCAGAUGGGAUUAGCUAGUUGGUGGGGUAACGGCUCACCACGGCGACGAUCCCUAGCUGGUCUGAGAGGAUGACCAGCCAAAAGGGAACUGAGACACGGGCCAGACUCCGACGGGAGGCAGCAGUGGGGAAUAUUGCACAAUGGGCGAAAGCCUGAUGCAGCCAGGCCGCGGGUAUGAAGAAGGCCUUCGGGUUGUAAAGUACUUUCAGCGGGGAGGCGUUACCCGCAGAAGAAGCACCGGCUAACUCCGGGCCAGCAGCCGCGGUAAUUC